UACGAAGGGGGCGAGCGUUGUUCGGAUUUACUGGGCGUAAAGGGCGCGUAGGCGGAUGGCACAGUCAGAUGUGAAAUUCCCGGGCUUAACCUGGGGGCUGCAUUUGAUACGUGUGAUCUAGAGUGAGGAAGAGGGUCGUGGAAUUCCCAGUGUAGAGGUGAAAUUCGUAGAUAUUGGGAAGAACACCGGUGGCGAAGGCGGCGACCUGGUCCUUGACUGACGCUGAGGCGCGAAAGCGUGGGGAGCAAACAGG
rnacentral:rRNA from 1 species